UCCAGACUCCUACGGGAGGCAGCAGUGGGGAAUAUUGGGCAAUGGGCGCAAGCCUGACCCAGCAAUGCCGCGUGAAGGAAGAAGGCUUUCGGGUUGUAAACUUCUUUGACAGGGGAAGAGCAGAAGACGGUACCCUGAAAACAAGCCACGGCUAACUACGUGCCAGCAGCCGCGGUAAUACGUAGGUGGCAAGCGUUGUCCGGAUUUACUGGGUGUAAAGGGCGUGUAGCCGGGAAGGCAAGUCAGAUGUGAAAUCCGGAGGCUCAACCUCCGAAUUGCAUUUGAAACUGUUUUUCUUGAGUACUGGAGAGGCAGACGGAAUUCCUUGUGUAGCGGUGAAAUGCGUAGAUAUAAGGAGGAACACCAGUGGCGAAGGCGACUAUCUGGCACAUAACUGACGCUGAGGAGCGAAAGCGUGGGUAGCAAACAGGAUUAGAUACCCGGGUAA
rnacentral:rRNA from 1 species